rnacentral:rRNA from 1 species
GUGUAAAGGGCGCGUAGGCGGCUCUGUAAGCCCUGCUUGAAAUGUUCGGGCUUAACCUGGACACGUGGCAGGGGACUGCAGGGCUUGAGGAUGGGAGAGGUGAGUGGAAUUCCCGGUGUAAGGGUGAAAUCUGUAGAGAUCGGGAGGAACACUAGUGGCGAAGGCGACUCUCUGGACCAUUUCUGACGCUGAGACGCGAAAGCUAGGGGAACAAACAGGAUUAGAUACCCUGGUAGUCCUAGCCGUAAACUAUGGGCACUAGGUGUUGGUCCCUUCUGGGAUCAGUGCCGCAGGUAACCCGAUAAGUGCCCCACCUGAGGAGUACGGCCGCAAGGUUGAAACUCAAAGGAAUUGACGGGGGCCAGCACAAGCGGUGGAACAUGUGGUUCAAUUCGAUGCUACACGAAGAACCUUACCCAGGCUUGACAUGCAGGGAGUAGGAACCUGAAAGGGGGACGACUCGUAACCAGUCGAGAUCCUGCACAGGUGCUGCAUGGCUGUCGUCAGUUCGUGCCGUGAGGUGUUGGCUUAAGUGCCAAAACGAGCGCAACCAUUGCUGAUAGUUGCUACCGGGUCCCGCAAGGGAUGCUGAGCACUCUAUCGGGACUGCCAGCGAUGAGCUGGAGGAUGGUGAUGAUGACGUCAAGUCCGUACGGCCCUUAUGCCUGGGGCAACACACGUGUUACAAUGGAGUCGACAAUGCGCUGCCAACCCGCGAGGGUGCGCUAAUCGCUUAAACGACUCCUCAGUUCGGAUCGCAGGCUGCAACUCGCCUGCGUGAAGC